rnacentral:rRNA from 1 species
GUGGGGAAUAUUGGACAAUGGGCGCAAGCCUGAUCCAGCCAUGCCGCGUGAGUGAUGAAGGCCUUAGGGUUGUAAAGCUCUUUCACCGGUGAAGAUAAUGACGGUAACCGGAGAAGAAGCCCCGGCUAACUUCGUGCCAGCAGCCGCGGUAAUACGAAGGGGGCUAGCGUUGUUCGGAAUUACUGGGCGUAAAGCGCACGUAGGCGGACAUUUAAGUCAGGGGUGAAAUCCCGGGGCUCAACCCCGGAACUGCCUUUGAUACUGGGUGUCUGGAGUAUGGAAGAGGUAAGUGGAAUUCCGAGUGUAGAGGUGAAAUUCGUAGAUAUUCGGAGGAACACCAGUGGCGAAGGCGGCUUACUGGUCCAUUACUGACGCUGAGGUGCGAAAGCGUGGGGAGCAAACAGGAUUAGAUACCCGUGUAGUCC